rnacentral:lncRNA from 1 species
CCAAUGAAAAGCUUAUGCACUGAAUCGAGAUUGAGAACAAGGACCAAGUUAAUUUGAAGUGGCAGGGCAGGUGCUGUAGAGCAGUUUAAGAUUAAGAGGUUUAUACCACUUAGUAAACUUAGGAAAACAUGUUGUGAACCACAGGGCUUUUCAAUAAGGCAGAACAGCUCCUGAUUUGGCGGGCAGCCAAUCAGUAAACCAAACACACCUGCAGAGUUGGAGCUAGAGACUCAUGAUGCCGCUGAUGUGUCCCAGCAGCAGACAGGGGUGUCUCAUAAACAAACAACAAA